AAUGUGCUAUUUAACUGAUAGGUGUAACAGUAUCAAACUAUUCAAGUGUAAAUUCAGAAGUUUAUCUGUUCUCUGCAGAUCUCAGAUAUUGAGGCAAGAAUAUCAGCCCUCAAAACAGCAGGUCUAAAUGUAUCUGCAUGCACACGGUUUUCCAAGUACAAAUCUAAACCUAUGCCCCAGACGCUGGACUCGUCUCGUCAUCAGAGGAGAAAGCUACCUGCUCCUCCUAUCAGAAGUCUGUCAUCAGAAAAGGAAGUUAAAUCCGAGCCACAGAUGAGAUCUGUGAGGCUGUAACAAGAGGCCAUGUGACCUCGGUGAUUCUCAGAUAAGCUGAAUGGCUCAAUAUCACUCUGCAGUGAAUGCUAGGACCAUCAGGCUGUUCCACACCAGUGCCUUGAUCCAACUUCCGGUCCUCCAAUUUGAUCAGCCCUAAUGCUACUUGUCCACCCGUAAGCCUGAUCACAACCCAUGUAGGGUUGAGCUCACUUCUGACCCCUAGGACU
ensembl:lncRNA